CCCGCCCGGGCUGCUCGCCCCGCCCCCGCGCGGCGCUGGGAGGCGGGAGCUGUCUCUGAGAACCUGCGGGAGAGCGCCCGGGCUUGCUGCUUCCCGGACCCGCGCGUCUCUCGAGCACCCUCGUCCCACCACCUUGUGAGGCCGUAGUGUUAUUUUUAUUUUUUAGAUCAGCAGACUGAGACUCGAGGUGACGUCACUCCGCAGAGAGGUUAGAGCACAGCAGACUGAGCCACCCAGAACUGGCCCCUCCGGUGGACCAGCCCCUGCGGAUUCACAGACCACUGGUCCUGGAAGGGACCUUGUCAAGCAGGCCCAUAAGGUAAUCCCUCCCCGGAAAGAGAAGAUCACAGAUUUUGUCAUAUUAAAUACAUUGUAGAAAUUCAUGGUAGCAGGGGCAAGAUCAUUUAAACAAAACAGAAAGUUUCAGAGAGAGAAAAAGCCAAGGACAAAGAUUAAUCAUUUUUCUGCUUAAAAAAAAUGGCUUUGAUUUGCAACCAUGGAAUGCUCCACUGUUUCUCUUCUCUUCAAAGACAUCUACUGAAAGGAUUCCUUAACCUUACCAAGUGGCCAAAAUACUUUUCUGAGAAGAGUCACAGAGCAUAGGCCCCCCUAGGGUACACAGAGAUUUCAUUAGUCCCUAGAUGUUUCCUGAUCCUUUUAAAAACUGGUUAAAUUCAGAGACUCUAGGCAAUUACUUCUUUCAGAACCUGUGAGGCAAAAACGAAAGAAGAAGGCAGGACACGCAGUGUAACAAACCUUGGAAUGGUAAGUAGGAAAUAUGAGUUAGUUUUUUGGCUAAGCUAUGAAUUUACCUUGUGCCUGCCAGAAAUCACUCAGUCUUUUGUGACUGUAAAUUUUCUGUAAGUGUUAAUUGGUUUGGUUUAUUAUUGCAAGAAGCAAGGGAGCAAUGUUGUGUAUUAUAAUUUCAUUGUGUCAAUUUUGCCAAAUUAUCUUGCAUUUUGUUAUUCUAUGAACUCAUAAUGGGAUAAGGAGUAUAGGCUUUGAUUCAGAACAUAUGUGAUGUUGCUAUAAAUGCUUCAUGGAAAACCCUAAAUAUAUUUUGAAGCCUACAUAGUCAAAA
rnacentral:lncRNA from 1 species